UAGAAACAGAUAACUACGGUUAUCUAAUAUGAAACAAUUUUUAGUACUUCAGGAUGUUAAAUAAUAGUGAUAAAACGUAAAGCUAAGGCUUAUGUUCUACAGAAAUAAUAUUAAACUUUUAUUGUUAGAUUUUUAAGUUCCCUCUAGCUUUUUACUGGGACUCUUGGAAUCUUUCCAAUGGCACAGAUAAAAUCCAAAUAGUAAAGACUGAAAAUUUAAAAUUAGAUUAAUUAGGCCAUUGCCUUAGACGAUCAUCAGCAACUUUGUUGGCUAGCGCAGGUGAGGAUAUCCUUAACAUAAAACGACAUGCUGGUUGGAAGUCUACAUCAGUAGCGGAAGGAUAUAUUGAAGAUUCCGUGUCAAAUAAAAUGAAAAUCGCCCAAAAAAUUGUCAAUGCUGAUAUGCCAUCUACAAGUUGCUCAGAUUGCAGUCCAAAUUUAUAUGGUGAUUCUUUUGGGCAUGCACCUUCCACAAAUCAUUCGGAGUUAUUGGAAGUUCAUAGCAACUUACAACAAAGCAAAGCAGCAAAUCCUAACAUUUCUAUAAAUAAUUGUUCAAAUUGUGUUAUAAAUAUAAAAUUAUAGAUGUAGGAAACUUAUGUUUGAUUGCUAAAGUUAUAAUUCCUUUAUUAAAAUAAAAUACAAUAAAUAAAAA
rnacentral:lncRNA from 1 species